AAGAGUUUGAUCAUGGCUCAGAUUGAACGCUGGCGGCAGGCCUAACACAUGCAAGUCGAACGGUAACAGGAAGCAGCUUGCUGCUUUGCUGACGAGUGGCGGACGGGUGAGUAAUGUCUGGGAAACUGCCUGAUGGAGGGGGAUAACUACUGGAAACGGUAGCUAAUACCGCAUAACGUCGCAAGACCAAAGAGGGGGACCUUAGGGCCUCUUGCCAUCGGAUGUGCCCAGAUGGGAUUAGCUAGUAGGUGGGGUAAAGGCUCACCUAGGCGACGAUCCCUAGCUGGUCUGAGAGGAUGACCAGCCACACUGGAACUGAGACACGGUCCAGACUCCUACGGGAGGCAGCAGUGGGGAAUAUUGCACAAUGGGCGCAAGCCUGAUGCAGCCAUGCCGCGUGUAUGAAGAAGGCCUUCGGGUUGUAAAGUACUUUCAGCGGGGAGGAAGGGAGUAAAGUUAAUACCUUUGCUCAUUGAC
rnacentral:rRNA from 1 species